rnacentral:rRNA from 1 species
ACGGGUGAGUAAUGUCUGGGAAACUGCCUGAUGGAGGGGGAUAACUACUGGAAACGGUAGCUAAUACCGCAUAACGUCGCAAGACCAAAGAGGGGGACCUUCGGGCCUCUUGCCAUCAGAUGUGCCCAGAUGGGAUUAGCUAGUAGGUGGGGUAACGGCUCACCUAGCGACGAUCCCUAGCUGGUCUGAGAGGAUGACCAGCCACACUGGAACUGAGACACGGUCCAGACUCCUACGGGAGGCAGCAUG